GGAAUGUACCCUUCUCUAAGGAAUAGCCUCUGGAAACGGAGAGUAAUACCUUAUACGCCCUUCGGGGGAAAGAUUUAUCGGAGAGGGAUCAGCCCGCGUUAGAUUAGAUAGUUGGUGGGGUAACGGCCUACCAAGUCUACGAUCUAUAGCUGGUUUUAGAGGAUGAUCAGCAACACUGGGACUGAGACACGGCCCAGACUCCUACGGGAGGCAGCAGUGGGGAAUCUUGGACAAUGGGCGCAAGCCUGAUCCAGCCAUGCCGCGUGAGUGAUGAAGGCCUUAGGGUCGUAAAGCUCUUUCGCCAGGGAUGAUAAUGACAGUACCUGGUAAAGAAACCCCGGCUAACUCCGUGCCAGCAGCCGCGGUAAUACGGAGGGGGUUAGCGUUGUUCGGAAUUACUGGGCGUAAAGCGCGCGUAGGCGGGUUGUUAAGUUAGAGGUGAAAUCCCGGGGCUCAACCCCGGAACUGCCUUUAAUACUGGCAACCUAGAGUUCGAGAGAGGUGAGUGGAAUUCCGAGUGUAGAGGUGAAAUUCGUAGAUAUUCGGAGGA
rnacentral:rRNA from 1 species